rnacentral:rRNA from 1 species
GACGAACGCUGGCGGCGUGCUUAACACAUGCAAGUCGAACGAAGAGCGAUGGAAGCUUGCUUCUAUCAAUCUUAGUGGCGAACGGGUGAGUAACGCGUAAUCAACCUGCCCUUCAGAGGGGGACAACAGUUGGAAACGACUGCUAAUACCGCAUACGAUCUAAUCUCGGCAUCGAGGAAAGAUGAAAGGUGGCCUCUAUUUAUAAGCUAUCACUGAAGGAGGGGAUUGCGUCUGAUUAGCUAGUUGGAGGGGUAACGGCCCACCAAGGCGAUGAUCAGUAGCCGGUCUGAGAGGAUGAACGGCCACAUUGGGACUGAGACACGGCCCAGACUCCUACGGGAGGCAGCAGUGGGGAAUCUUCCGCAAUGGACGAAAGUCUGACGGAGCAACGCCGCGUGAGUGAUGACGGCCUUCGGGUUGUAAAGCUCUGUUAAUCGGGACGAAAGGCCUUCUUGCGAACAGUUAGAAGGAUU